rnacentral:rRNA from 1 species
AUUGAACGCUAGCGGCAUGCCUAACACAUGCAAGUCGAACGAGUGGCGGACGGGUGAGUAAUAUAUCGGAACGUGCCCAGUAGCGGGGGAUAACUACUCGAAAGAGUAGCUAAUACCGCAUAAUAUUAGAGCAGCCAAUAUGGGAUUAGCUAGUUGGUGGGGUAAAGGCUCAACAAGGCAACGAUCCUUAGCUGGUUUGAGAGGACGACCAGCCACACGGGGACGGAGACACGGCCCAGACGCCUACGGGAGGCAGCAGUGGGGAAUGUUGGACAAUGGGGGAAACCCUGAUGCAGCCAUGCCGCGUGUAUGAGAAGGCCUUCGGGUUGUAAAGUACUUUUAGCAGGGAGGCGGUACCUGCAGAAGAAGCACCGGCUAACUACGUGCCAGCAGCCGCGGUAAUAC